rnacentral:lncRNA from 10 species
GAAGGCGGCCAUGAGUCCGUUGCAGGCCCGCCACAGCGCUGGCGCCAUGGCUCGGAGAACACGGCGCGGGGCGGUGAGUCCUGCCACGUGCGGGGCGGCCCCUAAGGUAAAAGCCUUGCUCCAAGUCCCCUUCUGACUUCUAGUCACUUCCGUGCUGCCAGCAGAGGGCGUGGGAUUCUUCCUGAGGAGCCUGAGUCUCAGCUUUGCCAGGUCCUUGCUGUGUGACCUUGGGCACCUGUGCUCCCUUGACAAAGAGGAAUAAAACCUCUUCAGACUACUCUCCUAUCGAUUCUCUCCUGGAACAUAUGACCACCAUCAAUUAUAGGCAAGAACAUGAACACGGGAGUCCCAAAGACUUGGGUUCAAAUGUCAGCCCCUUCACUCGCUGGCUGUAGGUGUGAGGCCCUGGCUCCUGUGGGGCUAUUGCAGAGGAGAAACUUCUGGAACAGAGAGCUCCUUGUCCAGGGAUGCUGCAUCUGGGUGAGCUGCUCCUUGGAUAUGGUGCAAGUGUGGCCAGGGUGUGGUGUGGAAGGAGCAGAAGUCUUCAGGACUGAAUCUGGAUGGACCACUGUGAC